rnacentral:rRNA from 1 species
UCUGGAAACUGUNUGACUUGAGUGCAGAAGGGGAGAGUGGAAUUCCAUGUGUAGCGGUGAAAUGCGUAGAUAUAUGGAGGAACACCAGUGGCGAAAGCGGCUCUCUGGUCUGUCACUGACGCUGAGGCUCGAAAGCGUGGGUAGCGAACAGGAUUAGAUACCCUGGUAGUCCACGCCGUAAACGAUGAGUGCUAGGUGUUAGGCCCUUUCCGGGGCUUAGUGCCGGAGCUAACGCAAUAAGCACUCCGCCUGGGGAGUACGACCGCAAGGUUGAAACUCAAAGGAAUUGACGGGGGCCCGCACAAGCGGUGGAGCAUGUGGUUUAAUUCGAAGCAACGCGAAGAACCUUACCAGGUCUUGACAUCCCGAUGCUAUUCUUAGAGAUAGGGAGUUACUUCGGUACAUCGGAGACAGGUGGUGCAUGGUUGUCGUCAGCUCGUGUCGUGAGAUGUUGGGUUAAGUCCCGCAACGAGCGCAACCCUUAUUGUUAGUUGCCAUCAUUAAGUUGGGCACUCUAGCGAGACUGCCGGUAAUAAACCGGAGGAAGGUGGGGAUGACGUCAAAUCAUCAUGCCCCUUAUGACCUGGGCUACACACGUGCUACAAUGGUCGGUACAACGAGUUGCGAGCCGGUGACGGCAAGCUAAUCUCUGAAAGCCGAUCUCAGUUCGGAUUGGAGGCUGCAACUCGCCUCCGUGAAGUCGGAAUCGCUAGUAAUCGCGGAUCAGCACGCCGCGGUGAAUACGUUCCCGGGCCUUGUACACACCGCCCGUCACACCACGAGAGUUUGUAACACCCGAAGUCGGUGAGGUAACCUUUUA